UACGGAGGGGACUAGCGUUGUUCGGAAUUACUGGGCGUAAAGCGCACGUAGGCGGAUUUGUAAGUCAGGGGUGAAAUCCCGGGGCUCAACCUCGGAACUGCCUUUGAUACUGCAAAUCUCGAGUCCGGAAGAGGUGAGUGGAAUUCCUAGUGUAGAGGUGAAAUUCGUAGAUAUCGUAAGGAAGACCAGUGGCGAAGGCGGGUCUCUGGACAGUUCCUGACGCUGAGGCACGAAGGCCAGGGGAGCAAACGGG
rnacentral:rRNA from 1 species